GCCAGCAGCCAUAUCACCCUGCAACUCACAACUGGCAACUAAGCAGGUGUGAGCCUGGUCAGUACCUGGAUGGGAGACCUCCUGGGAAAAGCUAAGGUUGCUGCUGGAA
rnacentral:rRNA from 1 species